UCCCAAGGGUUGGGCUGUUCGCCCAUUAAAGCGGUACGUGAGCUGGGUUUAAAACGUCGUGAGACAGUUUGGUCCCUAUCUACCGCGGGCGCAGGAGAUUUGAGGGGUGCUGUCCCUAGUACGAGAGGACCGGGAUGGACGAACCUCUAGUGUUCCAGUUGUCGUGCCAACGGCAUCGCUGGGUAGCUAUGUUCGGACGGGAUAACCGCUGAAAGCAUCUAAGUGGGAAGCCCACCCCAAGAUAAGAUCUCCCGUGGCGUUAAGCCCCUGAAGCCCCCUCGGAGAACACGAGGUUGAUAGGUCGGAGGUGUAAGGGUGGCGACACCCUAAGCUUACCGAUACUAAUCGGGCGUGAGGCUUGACCAAAUU
rnacentral:rRNA from 1 species